rnacentral:lncRNA from 10 species
UGGAGAAAUGACUGAUUUGAGAUCUAAGUCUCCCUUGCAAGCAGAUGUAGUCAUGUGGCUGAGUCUGACCCAUGUGACUGAAUGCUGCUGGAAGUGAAGUACUCCUAGGGCUGAUCUGUGUGGCCCCUUCUACAGAGAACUCUGAGGCCCCAGGGAAGAGCAGAGCCACGGAUGGAGGGUGCCUGGGCCGCUGAAUGACUGUGUGGAACAGAGCUCAGCCCUCCCCACUCCAGUGGACUUUACCCCUUUUCCCAAGUGGGAAAUAAACCUCUAUUGUGUUAAGC